UAAACAUUGAUAGUUCAGUACAUCUACUAUCCGCCCGGGAACUACGAGCAUCAGCUUGAAACCCAAAGGACUUGGCGGUGCUUAAGAUCCACCUAGAGGAGCCUGUUCUAGAACCGAUAACCCCCGUUCAACCUCACCCUCCCUUGUUUAUCCCGCCUAUAUACCGCCGUCGUCAGCUUACCCUGUGAAGGAUAAAUAGUAAGCAAAACUGGCUUAACCCAAAACGUCAGGUCGAGGUGUAGCGCAUGAGAGGGGAAGAAAUGGGCUACAUUUACUAACUUAGUAAAUACGAAUAAUGCACUGAAAUAUACAUUUGAAGGAGGAUUUAGCAGUAAGCAGAAAAUAGAGCGUUCUGCUGAAACCGGCCCUAAAGCGCGCACACACCGCCCGUCACUCUCCCCAAGCUACCAAACCAACAUAAUUAAUACCCUAUAACUGCAAAGGGGAGGCAAGUCGUAACAUGGUAAGUGUACCGGAAGGUGCACUUGGAAAAAU
rnacentral:rRNA from 1 species